UACGGAGGGUGCAAGCGUUAUCCGGAUUCACUGGGUUUAAAGGGUGCGUAGGCGGGUAUAUAAGUCAGUGGUGAAAGCUCCGAGCUUAACUUGGAAACUGCCAUUGAUACUGUAUAUCUUGAAUAUCGUAGAGGUUAGCGGAAUGUUGCAUGUAGCGGUGAAAUGCUUAGAUAUGUUACAGAACACCAAUUGCGAAGGCAGCUAACUAUGCGAUGAUUGACGCUGAGGCACGAAAGCGUGGGGAGCAAACAGG
rnacentral:rRNA from 2 species